rnacentral:rRNA from 1 species
UACGUAGGGGGCAAGCGUUGUCCGGAUUUAUUGGGCGUAAAGAGCUCGUAGGCGGCUUGGCAAGUCGGGUGUGAAAACUCCAGGCUCAACCUGGAGAUGCCACUCGAGACUGCUAUGGCUAGAGUCCGGUAGGGGACCACGGAAUUCCUGGUGUAGCGGUGAAAUGCGCAGAUAUCGGGAGGAACACCAAUGGCGAAGGCAGCUCGCUGGGACGGUACUGACGCUGAGACGCGAAAGCGUGGGGAGCAAACAGG